GUCAUCAGCCUCCUGGGACUGAUGUUGGUAUCACAUUUAAGUCUUGUCUUAUGAGGGGACGCUUCAACUGGUCAUCAAAAUAAUUUCAGUAACAUAUUCAAAAUAAUUUUAGUAACAAAUCUCAUACCAUUGCUCAUAAUUCAUUGUCAUAUUUACAGCCGCAGUGGGCGGGGCUUCAGGUUCGGUCCAUGUACGAGGCAUUCACUGAGCAGUUCGACCACAUGAGGUCUGAGCACGUGACUUGGGAGCCUUACACACAGCACGCCAUUUACGUCAGAAGUAAUGGCCUAGGCAUUUCACAGCCGUGUUAUCAGGACAGCAAGUACUGGAUGACGCGUAAGAAUCUCAUGUUUGAUGUAUUUGUUGAGGCCUACGCUGUGCAUCGCGUCAUGAGACAGUUUGGACUGUGGCAGGAGGUUCCGAUGCCUUUGGGUGACCGCAUCGACGCUGCGGUCCACGCCUACAAAAUGCAGGGGCCCCGCAAAAUAUUUAAUGAGUUGAUGCGGAGGAUGCAGCCAUGGAUCGAUGCAUGGGGCCAGGCACUGCAGGACCGUGUGGAUGAGCAGGCCCCUUACGACAGUGGUUCGUACCACGCAUACCUCCAAUGGUACACUCCUCGCACUCGGACCUGGCUCGUCUGCAUUAUCCAGCGGUAAGCUGAAGGUCCCCUGCUUCCGCCACAGUCUUUACUUUACCCUGGACACGCUGGCCAGGCGCUUCACCAGGCGGUACAUACUAGUUUAUUGAUUUCAUUUCAGGUCUAUGUGCAAGUUCUACGAAUGCGCUACCAUACUAAAUUAUUGCUAUACAAUCUGUACAAGCUGACAUAGGCAUGGAUAUAGCGCAUGAUGCAUCGGCCGUUGUUACGUUGCUUCGUGGCCGAGACUCAAGCGGUAGGUAUGACGAUGUUAUCGACAUGUUCACUCGCAUAGCACAGACGGCGAACCGUCUAGUUCGAGUCGCCACAUUCCGCCACACGAAUGAUGUCGUCAUGGACCGUAGCGCCUCAGGUAUGAGGGACAGGCCUCCUCGACCUACAACGACUCAUGCAUGUAGAGGCACGUCGGUCCAGCUGCCACGUACUCCAAUUGCAGACACAUCAGGGCCGUCGGAGUAUCAGCAUGCAACCAGGUCUACCCUGCCACAGCCUUUCCAGACCGGGCUGAGUUCUACAGGUUUCACGCAACCAAGUUUCAUUGGGUUUAACCCAUCCAUAGCACCAGUUGCAGCACAGUUUGAGGAUAGGCACGCUGGUUUUGGAUCUUCUUACUUAGCCUCGGAGGGGUUUGUUGGUACACCGCAGGAGAUGGACUACAACCAGUACUUCAGUUACCCGCAUUCGACGCAAGACACGCAGGAGAUUGUGGAAGAGGAUGUGGUACCCGCCGACCUGCCACAGAGGCGUGAGGUGAGGCCUACCAUUCGCUUCUCUCCGGCAGACUACGACAGGCCCAGGGCACCCUCGUCCGCACGGAAGCCGAAGAGGGUAGAGCGGACCGUCAGGGCCGCGGUAGGGGUCAGGGAUAGAAGAUUGGUGUUGUAUGGGCUUCUGCAGUGCUUCCUCAUGUAUUAUGUUAGGGUACUAUGACUUCCGCCAUGUCAGCGACUAUGUACUAUGAUACGUAGGCUAGUGCAGGGCUUUGCUCGAUGCGACACAAUGAUGCAAUGAUAGUACAACUAGUAGGCCUGUGCAGGGGUAUCAUCGCUAAGCCAGUGCAGGGGUAAUGGACUUAGUACUGAUCCCUAUUACAAGUGCCCAUAUCACAAGAACAAGUGUCCUCCGCCUCCUCCUCCUCCCCUGCCGCCGCCGACAAGCAUGGGAGGAUACUAUGGAGAAGGUUCAACUCAGUUUGCUAUGUGGGAUCAGUACUACAUUCAUUACCGCUUCCUGUAACAUUAGAUCGUUUGCUGUGAUUUAAAUUCCCUAAGGCAUGUUAGGUUUAGUUAUGGCACCUCUGCUAUUACAUGCCACUGCAACAAUUGUGUUGUUUAAAUUUCCUAAGACAUGUUAGGUUUAGUUAUGGCACCUCUGCCAUUAUAUUCCACUGCAAUGGUUCUAUAAUUUAAAUUCCCUAUGUCAUGUUCAAUUCAGUCCCGUGACCUUUGAGUAUUCUGAAAACCAUAUAAUGAAGUAGGUACGAUCCAUAAAUUCCCGGCUCCUAUUACAAAGUACAAAUGCUGGUGAGAUAGCUAAGCUUGCAUCAGACCAUUACAUCUCUGCUACUAAGAUAACAUGACACAAAAGUCCUUGGCCCAAAAUGGUAAACUUGAUCAACGAAGUGCAGUGGCAUGUGCAACACGGUAGCCUUGUGCUGCAACUAAACCUAACAUGCCUUAGGGAAAAUAAAAUGCCGGGACUAUAACUGUUGUGAUUUACUGAGUGCACCGAGGAUAUUUUUCCUUCCUAAUAGCUUCGGGCCCAGCUUCCUUUGCACGGCGUGCCCUCUCUCGCUUCCUCUCCCUAUCCGCUUCCCGUUCCUCCGCCUCCUGAUGCUCCACUUCAUGAAUCCUUUUGCGGAUAUCUUCUUGCUCUUUCUUGCGCUUCUCCUCUUUCUCUUCCUCGUGCAAUAUUCGCUGCCACCUUUCUGUAGCCCACCUUGCUUCAAGUUCAACCCACUCCUUAUCUUGCUGGGUCUGCUCCGUGUCCAACCACUGCAUGAAAUCACAUAGAGGGGGUGGACUCUUUAUCCAACGCAAGUUAGAAGUUGGCGUCAAAUCCAUAACUACAAACAUAACAUUCAUGUUGUACCUUAGGUCUAUCCUAACCGCGAUGCUUCGGCGGGUCGUACGCAUUGUUCUUGUACAUAAAAAACCUCAUUCUGAAGUCGUCACCCAAAACCUUUGACUUCAUGAGCUUGCAUAAGGAACCGCAGAAGCACAUAGGCACUUGCAUUCCUUGAGGCGCUGGUUCCCUCACCUUGUUCCGUGGGAUGUAGGUCGAUCCUGAGGACGACAUCAUGCUGCGAUGUGGUGGUUGUGCUGUGCGGCUGCGUGCUUCCGAGGAGUGUCCUGUGGUGUGGAGGCUUUAUCGCACUGAUAUUUGUAGAGAUUUUGGGAGUGGUCAUCGCAUUGCCUGGCGUGCGAGUGCAGUAGUGUAGAGCAGUGACUGGUCAUGUCCGUGCGUGGGCAGCGAGCGCGGUUGUGCGAAUCAAUGAGUGCUCUUGUCCGUGCAUGGCAUGCGAGCCAGCAGUGUGGACCAGUGACUUGUCACGUCCGUGCCUAGGCACCGAGCGCGGCAGUGCGAAUCAAUGAGUGCUCUUGUCCAUGCAUGCCGUGUGAGCGCAGCAGUGCGGACCAGUGACUUGUCACGUCUGUGCCUAGGCACCGAGCGUGGCAGUGCGAAUCAAUGAGUGCUCUUGUCCAUGCAUGGCGUGCGAGCGCAGCAGUGUAGACCAGUGACUUGUCACGUUCAUGCCUGGGCACCGAGCGCGGCAGUGUGAAUUAGUGAGUGCUCUUGUCCGUGCCUAGCGUGCUAGCGCAAAAGUGCGGAGCAGUGAGCGGUCAUGUCUGUGCCUGCACAACGAGUAACAAGCAGAAGCAUCCAAUGCUAAGUAUCCAAUUUAAAUAUUUUCCUCAUAUUUAACAAUCCGACAAGAAACUAUUGACGUGAAAUGUCACUGAGAAUCCUGAAUGAUAGACUCCGGCGCGCUUCAAUAGAAUAAUAUUCAGGACGACGUGACUUCACGACUGACUGCCACUACAUAGAAAGUCACUGUUUACAAUACAUGGAAAGUCACUGUUUACAAUACUAUUUCGAUAUGAUUACAUCGUAAGGCCUUCUUCGGUGUAGUAAUCUCGUGACUCCAUCGCUGUUUGAAAGGAUGAUGCAGGCAGUCCUGCGUGUAUAAAAGGAGAGGAUGUCGUUGUCGAGAGUAGAAACAAUUUACCUUCGAACAAUCUAGGGCAGCUUUGCGUCAGGAAAUGGAGGCGCAUUUAGGAGGUCCUCCUAACGAUCCAACUAGAUGUGUUACGGAUUGCAAGGUAUGGCCGAAAGGUGUAUAGCCACCCUAAAGCUAUUGCCAGAUGCGUUGUAUUCCCAACAUAUCUCGUGAGUACGAAACUUUUGGCCAGAGGUAUUGGUCUUGUAAGAAUAUUGAGGAAGUCCAAAAGGCAGGUGCAAUUUCACAUGUAUAGAUAUUUUUUGAAUAUGUUUGUCUAGUUUUUUUGAAUUUUUCUAACAAUUUUGUUUCGUUUCUUGUUUAUGAAAGCACACUUUUCAUGAGACGAAUACUCUUUUUUGUCAUUUCCAUGAGUGGAUUGACACAUCCAUCAGUCGUUCGUGAUCAGUAAUAUGUGGCGUGGUUGAAGAAGGUGGAUGAUGAUGUACGCAAGUCUGGCAUUGACAAAGUAGAACAUGGCAACGGUACUGGCCGUGAAUGAUGGAUGUUGUAGUGGUCUGUUUCAUUCGGAUCAGUUUUGUUUUCUGAAUAAGUUAUGUUCCUUCCUGACCAAUAUGUUGCGUGUUUGUUUCGGAAGCAUCUUCUGGCUCCCUAUGUAAUAUUUUUUCUGCGUGCUUUGUAUGUGUACUUGUUGUAGUUCUGAAAGUU